rnacentral:lncRNA from 1 species
UUAAAUCAAUAUGCAAUUAAUGUGGGCUUUAUUAUGUUUUUGGGCUUAUGUUUGGAUGAAGAGACCCAGUUAACCCUAAUUUUAUUUUUUUACGCCUGUUCUCCGCCGUUGGAGUGAUUGGGUUGCUGAAGUCGGUGAUGAACUGUUCGUGGGGUUUCGAUCGCGUCUUCUGAUCUUUUUUUUCAUCAACCAAAAUGCUCAGUUACAGAUUCGUCUCAUUAAACCUCUUCUUAACUCCAUCAACCAUGAUCUGUCCUUGAAUGUGAGAUUCUCUUUUGCAUGUGGUUACAUGUACACCAUCACAUUGAACAUAUCAUUUAAAGAUCAGGUGUUCUGAACACACUAACGCUUUGUUGUCCUCUACAUUUAAAGAGCAGUUAUAUCUUUUUAUUAUAUAACUUUCUAGGUUUUGUUGUUUCACUCUCUCAUAUUUAGUCUCUUUUUCAAUGUGGGUGAAAUCAAAUGGUUCUGGGAACAACAAUACGAUCAGGACUUUUCUUACUCUGGUGUUCAAGUGCCUGAUGCAAUAGCUAAAAGAGAGUUUAUUCGCAUUUGAUUUAUCAUGUAUAUUACACGGCCCGCAUGGUCACUACAAUGUUUAAGAAAUCGCAAAAAAUAUCUACACCGUUAUUAGAAAUACUACAAAACGACAUCCACCGUGUCCAAGUACAAGCAAAAAAGAACCACCUCAGUCCAUAAGAGCUUUCUUACAAUUAGCCACUCCAACACUUUAACUUAUAAUAUAAACAUUAAUGUGCAAUAAUUAGUAUUCACAAGAAAAUAACAAAAAUAACUAACAACCCAAUUACUGUUUCAGCCAAGUAAAACAAAUAUUAAAAACAAUCAAACGUAGCCAUUAGCAUUUUUCGUAUAUUUAUUUUAUUAAGAAUAACAAAAAAUAAUUAAAUUUAAUGUUAUUUUAAUUGAUAAUAAAAUUAUAUUUUCAAAUUUUCAUUACAAUUUAAGAUAUUUUAUAAUUUUCAUUGCAAUAAAUUCACACUUUUAACUUUCUAACCAUAUAUAUAUAUUGACAAUACAUCAAAUGCUUUAUAAAUAAUCUCUAUUGCUAAUAAUACAUCAAAUGGUAUGGUUUUAUCAGUUACAGAUUCGUCUCAUUAAACCUCUUCUUAACUCCAUCAACCAUGAUCUGUCCUUGAAUGUGAGAUUCUCUUUUGUGAGGCGGUGUCACUGCC